UGGGGAAUAUUGCACAAUGGGCGCAAGCCUGAUGCAGCGACGCCGCGUGGGGGAUGACGGCCUUCGGGUUGUAAACCUCUUUCAGCAGGGACGAAGGGUGACUGACGGUACCUGUAGAAGAAGCACCGGCCAACUACGUGCCAGCAGCCGCGGUAAUACGUAGGGUGCGAGCGUUGUCCGGAAUUACUGGGCGUAAAGAGCUCGUAGGUGGUUUGUCGCGUUGUUCGUGAAAACUCACAGCUUAACUGUGGGCGUGCGGGCGAUACGGGCAGACUGGAGUACUGCAGGGGAGACUGGAAUUCCUGGUGUAGCGGUGGAAUGCGCAGAUAUCAGGAGGAACACCGGUGGCGAAGGCGGGUCUCUGGGCAGUAACUGACGCUGAGGAGCGAAAGCGUGGGGAGCGAACAGG
rnacentral:rRNA from 1 species